rnacentral:rRNA from 1 species
UUUAAAUGGGGCGAAGCUGACGGAGCACGCCGCGUGAGGGAUGAAGGCCUCUGGGCUGUAAACCUCUUUUAUCAAGGAAGAAGAUCUGACGGUACUUGAUGAAUAACCCACGGCUAAUUCCGUGCCAACACCCGCGGUAAUACGGGAGUGGCAAGCGUUAUCCGGAAUUAUUGGGCGUAAAGCGUCCGCAGGCGGCCCUUCAAGUCUGCUGUUAAAAAGUGGAGCUUAACUCCAUCAUGGCAGUGGAAACUGUUGGGCUUGAGUGUGGUAGGGGCAGAGGGAAUUCCCGGUGUAGCGGUGAAAUGCGUAGAUAUCGGGAAGAACACCAGUGGCGAAGGCGCUCUGCUGGGCCAUCACUGACGCUCAUGGACGAAAGCCAGGGGAGCGAAAGGGAUUAGAUACCCCUGUAGUCCUGGCCGUAAACGAUGAACACUAGGUGUCGGGGGAAUCGACCCCCUCGGUGUCGUAGCCAACGCGUUAAGUGUUCCGCCUGGGGAGUACGCACGCAAGUGUGAAACUCAAAUAAAUUUGACGGA